CAGUAGCCACGGUAAUACGUAGGGCGCAAGCGUUGUCCGGAAUUAUUGGGCGUAAAGAGCUCGUAGGCGGUCUGUCGCGUCUGGUGUGAAAUCCCGAGGCUCAACCUCGGGCUUGCAUCGGGUACGGGCAGACUAGAGUGCGGUAGGGGAGACUGGAAUUCCUGGUGUAGCGGUGGAAUGCGCAGAUAUCAGGAGGAACACCGAUGGCGAAGGCAGGUCUCUGGGCCGCAACUGACGCUGAGGAGCGAAAGCAUGGGGAGCGAACAGGAUUAGAUACCCGAGUAGUCCCUGUCUCUUAUAC
rnacentral:rRNA from 1 species